rnacentral:rRNA from 1 species
CCUACCGGGAGGGCAGCAGUGGGGGAAGUCUUGCGCAAUGGGCGGAAAGCCUGACGCAGCCAUGCCGCGUGAAUGAUGAAGGUCUUAGGAUUGUAAAAAUUCUUUUCACCGGGGACGAUAAUGACGGUACCCGGAGAAGAAGCCCCGGGCUAACUUCGUGCCAGCAGCCGCGGUAAUACGAAGGGGGGCUAGCGUUGCUCGGAAUUACUGGGCGUAAAGGGAGCGUAGGCGGAUAGUUAAGUCAGAGGUGAAAGCCCAGGGCUCAACCUUGGAAUUGCCUUUGAUACUGGCUAUCUUGAGUAUGGGAGAGGUAAAGCGGAACUCCGAGUGUAGAGGUGAAAUUCGUAGAUAUUCGGAAGAACACCAGUGGCGAAGGCGGCUUACUGGCCCAUUACUGACGCUGAGGCUCGAAAGCGUGGGGAGCAAACAGGAUUAGAUACCCUGGUAGUCCACGCCGUAAACGAUGAGAGCUAGUUGUCGGCAUGCAUGCAUGUCGGUGACGCGAGCUAACGACAUAAGUACUCUCCGCCGUCGGGUAGGUACGGUCGCGAGAAGUUAAAACUUAAAAGUUAAGUAAGUUAGUACGGCGUAGAGACGUGACCGAACGGACGACGACGAGGGAGGUAGG